AUUGAACGCUGGCGGCAGGCCUAACACAUGCAAGUCGAGCGAGCGGCGCACGGGUGAGUAAUGUAUGGGGACUGCCCGAUAGAGGGGGAUAACUACUGUAAACGGUAGCUAAUACAGCAUACUCUCUGAUUACCCAUAGGGGAUGAGCUAGUAGGUGAGGUAAUGGCGCACGUAUGCGACGAUCCCUAGCUGGUCUGAGAGGAUGAUCAGCAACACUGGGACUGAGACACGGCCCAGACUCCUACGGAGGCAGCAGUGGGGAAUAUUGCACAAUGGGCGCAAGCCUGAUGCAGCCAUGCCGCGUGUAUGAAGAAGGCCUUAGGGUUGUAAAGUACUUUCAGUCGGGAGGCGUUACCGACAGAAGAAGCACCGGCUAACUCCGUGCCAGCCGCCGCGGUAAUUC
rnacentral:rRNA from 1 species